rnacentral:rRNA from 1 species
CUAGAGAUUAGUUUGAUCCUGGCUCAGAUUGAACGCUGGCGGCAGGCCUAACACAUGCAAGUCGAGCGGUAGCACAGAGAGCUUGCUCUCGGGUGACGAGCGGCGGACGGGUGAGUAAUGUCUGGGAAACUGCCUGAUGGAAGGGGAUAACUACUGGAAACGGUAGCUAAUACCGCAUAAUGUCGCAAGACCAAAGUGGGGGACCUUCGGGCCUCAUGCCAUCAGAUGUGCCCAGAUGGGAUUAGCUAGUAGGUGGGGUAAUGGCUCACCUAGGCGACGAUCCCUAGCUGGUCUGAGAGGAUGACCGGCCACACUGGAACUGAGACACGGUCCAGACUCCUACGGGAGGCAGCAGUGGGGAAUAUUGCACAAUGGGCGCAAGCCUGAUGCAGCCAUGCCGCGUGUAUGAAGAAGGCCUUCGGGUUGUAAAGUACUUUCAGCGAGGAGGAAGGCGUUAAGGUUAAUAACCUUAGCGAUUGACGUUACUCGCAGAAGAAGCACCGGCUAACUCCGUGCCAGCAGCCGCGGUAAUACGGAGGGUGCAAGCGUUAAUCGGAAUUACUGGGCGUAAAGCGCACGCAGGCGGUCUGUUAAGUCAGAUGUGAAAUCCCCGGGCUCAACCUGGGAACUGCAUUUGAAACUGGCAGGCUUGAGUCUUGUAGAGGGGGGUAGAAUUCCAGGUGUAGCGGUGAAAUGCGUAGAGAUCUGGAGGAAUACCGGUGGCGAAGGCGGCCCCCUGGACAAAGACUGA